CUCCUACGGGAGGCAGCAUGGGGAAUCUUGCACAAUGGACGAAAGUCUGAUGCAGCAACGCCGCUGGGGGAUGAAGCUUCUCGGAGUGUAAACCCCUUUCGACCCGGAAGAAUGCCCGCAAGGGUUCGACGGUACGGGUAUAAGAAGCCCCGGCUAACUACGUGCCAGCCGCCGCGGUAAUUC
rnacentral:rRNA from 1 species